CUACAAACGUCACUGCUUUUUAGUUUUCUGUCUUCAUUUAUGCUGGAAGUGAUAACAGAGCUGUACGUUUUAAUUUGUUUCCAAAACCCCGCAGUCAGGACAUGCUAUAUUGUAUUUAGAUAGAAGCUAGCGAGCUAACUCCCUGCUAACUUCUAACUCCGUUAAAUGUCAUAAACUCCCCCUGGUUUCUGCUCGGUGGCUGUUGAGUGAGCCCUCAUCUGGGACUCUCCUCAGCUCUUACUGGGACAGUGGCGCGGCUGCCCCUCUGUUGGUCUUCCUUGGUCUCUUGUGUUCUGGGGGCCUCUGGAUGUCUGGAGUUUUGAUCUCCUCCAUACCUGCUUCAUACCCUGGAGGACGGGGCUGUGGCUCCCCACACUCCCUAGCAGAUCGUUACAUGGAGAAACCUUUGGAAUGCAAACAUGCUGAUCCACACAGGUAUGCACACAGGUGUACACACGGGUAUUCACAGACGCGGACUACAGCUUUCUUGGCUGCUGCCUCAAAGCACAUUGUGCGCUGUCUAUCUUGCGUGCUGCACAAUAUCGUUUAUUAUUUAGUAUCUACUGAUAUCUACUGCUAGCUAGUUUAUUGUGAUGGUGCUGUUUUUUUUAUUAUGUUGCUCUUUGUUGUUUGCUUUCUUUUCUGUUUUUUUUCUCCAUACAGGUGACCCAGGUGUUUUGUUUGUUUUUGUUUUUGUUUCUUCCCCCCCUUCUCACCGUCUCUUCUCCCCUUUGGUUUUCUUUCUCUCCCUCUCUUUCUUUCAUUCUUUCUCCCUGUCCUAUCCCCCAGUCAUGUCUGUCCCGUUUGUAGCAACUGAAAAUAAAAUAAAUUCAUAAUUAUAAUAAAGGUCAGUCAAAUGGACCAAUAUGGCAAGGCCAUGAUGAUCCACUUGGUAAAAUAAAUCCGCUUGGCAUCUUUCUUCGCCUUAAGACAACAAUUCUGAUGGCUAAAGAUCCAAACGGGACACAAAAAAAAAAGAAGAAAAAAAAAUGUCAUAAAUUCCGUUUUCAUGGAUGCCUGGAUGUUAAACUCAAUUGUUACACCUGGUAGAGCAGAACGCUGAUCAUUUUAUUAAAGAUGAAAGACUUUAGACAGUUUUUCAACUCUCAGUAAUGCCAUAGUGAUCGUUUGAUAUAUGGACCUGCAGCGGAGUUUAGGCCCAGACACGGCUAGUGACGUCAGACUUAACGACCGGAUAGGCUAAUUUAAACUUUUUAAAAUUAUGUAAAAUUGUAAAAUGCUUAUCUGUGUCUGUAAUAAAACCUCUGUAACUUUACUCUGCUUCACUUCAGCAGUAUCAGGUAAUGUUCAGAUGUUG
ensembl:lncRNA